UCAGGAAGCAGAGAGAAGACUACAGGAGGAACAUUAGGAGAGCCGAGAGACAUCAGAAGGAUGCUGAGCUGCCAAGGCCGAAGGAAGGUUCCCCACUGUCUAAAGUUGAUCAUCAAGUAACAGAGCCUCCUGGCACAGAAGACACUUCUACAUGAAUUGGGAAAAGGCAGAUUCAUCUGGGUGGAUUAAUUACGUAAAGGAGCUCCUUCAAGGAAGAGGAAUUAGCAAAGAUCAUCCUUUCCUCCAGAUAAAUAAAAGCAGCCCUAAACCAAGAUGAAUGGGUUUUUGAUUCUGUGAGCACUAAAUCACCUUUCCUCUCUAAGCUCUACAACUCCAAGAACGGCUCAGUUGAUGACCAGCUUGAUUUUCUAAUACAUAUUCGUUAGUUUGAAAAAAUUCAAGACCAUUGUCAAGAUCAGUAGAAGAUCCUCGAUGUUAAAACCACAAUCCUAGAAGAUGUAGAACCACUACUAGGAAGGCAGAAAGCCAGCACAAGAGACAACUCUUCUGUUUCCCCCACACUGAACUCCAGUCUCCACUGCUGUUGUGGUAAUACCACUACCAGAGCCUGAGUCCUGGAUCCUAUUGCUUCCUGGGGGUCAGGUAGAAAUAUGUAUUUGAGAGGCCUUGUCUGGAGUGUGGUAAGGCACAUGUUUUAAGGAAUGCCUGGGAAGCACUGCUCACAUUUUGUGGACAGAGGCCACAGCUAGUAAACAUCCUGCAAUGUGUGAGACAGUGUCACACAGCACAGACCUGUCCCUGUUACUAGGGCUCCGGUUGAGAAAUGCUAACAUAGAGUUGGACGUGGGAGAAUGAACUUGUUUCUGGGGUAAGGGAUUAGGGGCUACUUCAGUGUUUGGAGGGUAAGUACCUAAGAUGGGACACCUUUAUCGUCUCUCUGUGUCUCAUCAUCUGACCACUAAUGUUUUCCCCUGGGCACACUAAUGCCUUUUCAUCAUCAUCAUUGCAACCAAUUUCCUUAAGAAAAAAUUGAAGAGGCCAGCCAGGCGUGGUGGCUCACACCUGUAAUCCCAGCACUUUGGGAGGCCAAGGCAGGUGGAUCAUGAGGUCAGGAUAUCGAGACCAUCCUGGCCAACAUGGUGAAACCCCAUUCUACUAAAAAUACAAAAAUUAGCCGGGUGUGGUGGCAGGUGCCUGUAACCCCAGCUACUUGGGAGGCUGAGGCAGGAGAAUUGCUUGAACCAGGGAGUCAGAGGUUGCAGUAGUGAGCCGAGAUUGCACCACUGCACUCUAGCCUGGCAACAGAGCAAGACUCCGUCUCAAAAAAAAAGGAAAAGAAAAAGUUGAAGAGAUACCAUAUUUGGAGAAUAUGCAAAGGACUUCCUAGUCAGCCUUGACUGUUCCCUGGGCCUGUGUUGUCUGGCAUUUCCAAAAUUAUUGAAUAUUUGCCAUAUUAUUUUCUUCUUUCAGUAUUACUUAUGUUAAUGUUUUUAAAAAAGAAAUUAAAAUAUCAUAUACUCUUUAGUAACUUUCACUCCUGCUUUGGGGAAAACAUGCCAACUAAAUGUCCCAAACAAAAGAGUAAUUUUAAUAAUGACAUUAAUUGGAGCAUUAUUUUCAUAUAAUAAGCAAAGGACUGGAUACAUUCAAAUGCUCAGUAACAGAUGGCUAAGCAAGGGACUGGAACAGUGAAUUAUGAAUGACCAUAUACUCACUGAUGCCCACAACACACUGUAUUGAUUCUCCAAAAUCUUUAUGUGAAAUAAUGUGAAGUUAGCAAAGAUGAACUAAUCUGUAUUUACAUAAUUGCAGUUAUGACUAUAAGCACAUUAAACAGAAUCAAGACAGAGAGAUGUGAAAAUAAUUUAAAGAUCAUUAAAUUCUAUUUUUAAGCAAAUUCCUUACAGUAAAAAAAUUUUUAAUUGGAAAAACUCAUUGUUUCCUCAUCAUUUUCAAUUUGAU
rnacentral:lncRNA from 10 species